AUGGCCAUGGCGGACCUGUUGACGUGAGGAUCGAUUCCUUCCGGGAUGGCGGUUGUUGCAACGGUCGCCGGCGUUUGUGGUCGUGUGCUCGAGCUACCGAGCUCAGCGUCGGUGGCUAAAUCGUUUUGGACUUCUCUCUCAUCGUGUAGGUGCUACUCGAGCAUGAGUUGGAAUCCUCUGCAGCGCAGGACAACUGUGCUGCGUUCGAGAAAGCUCGUGAUUCGAGCCGCCAGAACCGAGUCCAAAGGGGCCUCUCUUGGCUCCAGAGCACCUGAUUUCGAGCUUCCGGAACCUCUCACUGGAAAAGUUUGGAAACUGGACGACUUCGAAGCUUACCCAGCGUUGCUGGUAAUGUUCAUCUGCAAUCAUUGCCCAUUUGUGAAACAUUUGAGAAAAGAUUUAGUUAAGCUUUCAAAUUUCUACAUGAAGAAAGGGCUCGGAGUGAUAGCAAUUUCUUCAAACUCUGUAACCACUCAUCCACAGGAUGGACCUGAGUUCAUGGCAGAGGAAGCUAAGACUUUUAAGUUUCCCUUUCCAUAUCUAUAUGAUGAGACCCAAGAUGUUGCUAGAAGCUUUGGAGCUGUUUGCACACCAGAGUUUUUUUUGUUUAAAAGGGAUGGCCGUAGGCCAUUCGAGUUAGUCUAUCACGGACAAUUUGAUGAUUCGCGCCCAAGUAGCAAUGUACCCAUCACAGGAAGGGAUUUGAGUUUGGCCAUCGACCGUGUUUUGAGUGGACAACCAGUUUCAUCGAUUCAAAAGCCCAGCGUGGGAUGCAGCAUCAAGUGGCAUCCUUAAGGCCAGAUCAAAACCAUCAUCCAUUGCCACCACUCCACUGUAUGAACCCUUUCUUAUGAGGGUUUGGUGUCAAUUUAAUUACACUUAUACCUCAGUAGCCUACAGCAGCAAGUUGCAUGAGAAUUUCAUUGAUAAUGGAUGCAAUUAUCCAAUUGAUCACCCCCACCCACCCACCCUAUGUGUUUUACUAUUAAGGAAACAGUAAUUAUGAACUGUAUUUUGUGGUCCUUGAUUGGUUCUUGCACAGUACCUUUACUCCAAAAACAUUCCAUAUUCUUGCCAUCUUCUCCAACAAAUUUGUUCUGCAUGCUUAGGUAUAGGUUGUAGAAACUACUGCCAUUUCUAGCAGCUAAUUAUGAUGAAUAAAUGAAUUCAUAGGCUGGCUGUUUUUAUAUUAUUU